ACGCUUCAUACAUGCAAGUCGAGGGGCAGCAUAAAGUACUUGUACUUUGAUGGCGACCGGCGAACGGGUGCGUAACGCGUAUGCAACUUACCUUUUACUAGAGAAUAGCCAAGAGAAAUUUUGAUUAAUGCUCUAUACUCUUUUUAACUCACAUGAGUUUUUAAGAAAAGCUCCGGCGGUAAAAGAUGGGCAUGCGUCCUAUUAGCUUGUAGGUGAGGUAACGGCUCACCUAAGCUCCGAUAGGUAGGGGUCCUGAGAGGGAGAUCCCCCACACUGGUACUGAGACACGGACCAGACUUCUACGGAAGGCAGCAGUAAGGAAUAUUGGACAAUGGAGGAAACUCUGAUCCAGCGAUGCCGCGUGAAGGAAGACGGCCCUAUGGGUUGUAAACUUCUUUUAUACAGGAAGAAACCUUUCCACGUGUGGAAAGCUGACGGUACUGUAAGAAUAAGGAUCGGCUAACUCCGUGCCAGCAGCCGCGGUAAUACGGAGGAUCCAAGCGUUAUCCGGAAUUAUUGGGUUUAAAGGGUCCGCAGGCUGUUUGUUAAGUCAGGGGUGAAAUCCUACCGCUCAACGGUAGAACUGCCUUUGAUACUGGCAAACUUGAGUUAUUGUGAAGUAGUUAGAAUGUGUAGUGUAGCGGUGAAAUGCAUAGAUAUUACACAGAAUACCAAUUGCGAAGGCAGAUUACUAACAAUUAACUGACGCUGAGGGACGAAAGCGUGGGUAGCGAACAGGAUUAGAUACCCUGGUAGUCCACGCCGUAAACGAUGGUCACUAGCUGUUCGAUGUACAUUGGUACAUUGAGUGGCUAAGCGAAAGUGAUAAGUGACCCACCUGGGGAGUACGCUC
rnacentral:rRNA from 1 species